AGCAAGUGGUUAAGUGAGAGAGCUUUUGCUUUCUGGGUUAGAGCGUCCAGCCUUCAAGAGUUAAGCCGCCAGCAGUGCUCUGAAGAGCCGGCAGAGGAUUUCCCAAGCUUCCCGGCAGGCACUCUGGUUUUGCAGGGACUGAUACGCGGUUUUGAGCGAGCAGCUGCAGGAGCGGGGCUUGGAUUUGAAAACACGUUGAGAAAUCAGUCUGGCAACCUGCAAGGAAUAGGAUUCUGAAUAACCAUUUUGUUUUCCUGGGAGGUGAACACAGCUUUGAUCUACAGAAUCAGGGACAAUAGAAGCAAUACAGACAACACAGAGCCUCAUUUUAUGGAAUUCUACAACACUGAUACUAAAAUGAUUACCGUAUAUCUGAGGUAGAAUAUCUGAAAAUUUCCCGAGACUUCCUUGUAAGGAGAAGGUAAGAGAUUUCAACUUUGUAAUUAGACUUCAGAAUUUGGUUUUAAAACA